UAAUCAUUAACAGAAGCAAUGAGCUCUUGAGUGUUUCAUUCCAGAGAGCAAGACCAAAUCGGCUGGAUCACGAGGACAACAGAAGCCUAGACAACUCAUUCUAUCCAAAUAACCACUAAAAACUUGAAGUUUCAGAGUAAAAAGGUUGUGUUACAGAAUACCUAGCAUGUUGACUACUGAGAAUGGACCUAAAAGGCACAUUUACAGCUGGAAACCUCAUUCUGUCGGAGGCACUCAACCUGGUAUCAGUCACCCUGGGAGAUGUAUCAACAGCAAGGCCUGGCAUCUGAGCUCCAGACCCCAGCGCUGGAGAAAUACGGUCCCACUCAUUGCCCACAGGUGGCCCGUUGGCUUCAUAUCGCACAAUUCCCUGCCCCAGUGUGUGACCACUGUGAAAGAGAGGAAAAAGCACCAGCCUGGCAGGCUGAAGCUGACUCAGAAGCUCUGGCAUCCGCCACAGUGAGACUGAUGACCUAAGAGGAGCGAAAUACAUGACCUCAGUGAACAGGGACAGAGAUAGACAGAGGAAUCGUGAGAUGUCUGUGGUGAUGGAUGAGUCUCUGCUGGAGCCCUGGGCCACAGGUCAGAUAGAUGAGAGAGUCCGAGAGCAAGUGAAAAGAAAAAGGGAUCUGAGCGAUGGAGUUGAGACCCCCACAGGCCGGCUGUAUUGCAGCUAAAGGCAAAGAUAGCUGAUGAGAGCUUGAUGAACUUCCUCAGAAAGGCUGGUGCAGUGGUUGGUAUUCACUAUUGAGAUGCAACACAGCUCUCGGGCAAAGACAGAGGGUCAAUUGACAUUCUGAGAAGGAAGUCUAUGAAUCACAGUUGUGUGUGUGGUCAUGUUAGUGUAGCCAAUGUUUGUGCACAGACUGAGGAGAUUGAAUAAGAAACACUGAAGAUCAUUUCAACAAAUGUGUCUCAACAUCUUCAUAUUAAUUUUUUUUUUUAUGCUUUCCUGUACAAAACUGUCCACCAGAAUGCUAGGGUGUUUUAUAUGAUUGUCAAAGUGUUGCUCAGCAGUUUCUAAGGUGUUUGGAGGAGUUUUGCAUGAAGCUAUGAGGUUGCUAGGAUGUUCUGGUUGAGUGUUGAGUGACUGCUUGCUGGCCAGAAAGAGCUAAUGCAUUUUCCCCCUCAUUUCACUGCCAGACAGGUGGAAAUCAAAAGUCCUUAGAACACAGGUUUUCAAAUUGCCGUCUGGAGCUGCAGUGGGGUGUUAAAGGGUCCAUAGAAAAUGUAAAAGAAAAAUUAUUUUACAAGAUGUAUUUUUAGACCUGACCAAAUGAAACUUAUGAACCUAAAUAAUUAUUAUUAUUAUUAUUAUUUUAACUGUUUUAUAUUUUUAUUUUUUUUAAAUAACAUGGACAAAUUUGUUUAAUUGAGAAUGCUUCUGCUUGCUUGUCCGCUUCAGGUUUAUACAAAUAUUAGAUAUAUCAAGUUCAAUAUUUUACAGGUAUGUUGAUUUGUUU
ensembl:lncRNA